rnacentral:ncRNA from 2 species
AAUAGCCUUCGGGGCAGGGUGAAAUUCCCGAUCGGUGGUUAAAGCCCACGAGUAUGCCCGUUAUCAACGAGCAUACAGGAUGCGAUGAAAUUCCGCAGCCGACGGUUACAGUCCGGAUGAAAGAAGGUUGAG